GGUGGGGAGAGCACUUAGAAAGAAGGCUAGAGGCAAGUCUUGGAGGCGCCCUGUAUUCCCUGCUGCAGUCAGGACCCCUGAAGUAUUUUAAGCAAGUAAGUGCCAUGAUUAGAUUUGCACCUUGGGAAGGGCAAGAGGACAGUCACCACCUAAGAGAAGGCUGGGUGGUAAGAGGUGGAUACCAUGUCAAUAAUGGUGGAAUUCACAAUAAAUGGAGAGAAGUCACACACGAGAGAUGUCAAUGAGGUAUAGCUUAAUGGCAGUCUGGAGAUGUACAAAAUUGCUAUCAUAUAUUACAGCUGAAAAAUUGAACGCUUGGAGAGGUUAAAUAAAUUAAUUUACCCAGAUCACAAUGCUUGCAAAUGAUAGCACCGGGAUUCAAGUCUAGAAAUGUAUUCACUUGCAUACCAGACAACGUUCUUUACCAUCAUCAUCAUAUUAAAGGGCACUGUGUGAGACAGUGAGGACACGACAGGAAGCCCAUCAUGCUGGAAUCCUGCUUCAUGGAACUCCCAGGAUACUGGUAGCACAGACGUUAAUCAAAACAUUGCAGAUGCAAGUGUGAUUUCAGUUGUGAUUUGCAAUCCAAAGACAAGAUGAGGUGCUGUGAGUGCGUGGUAAAGACAUUUCCAAACCAGGGAGGUCCAGGGAGAUAUCUCUGAGGAAAUGAUGCUCUGAGCUGAGUUCUGAAGGAAGAAUGGGGGUUAAUGAAAUAAGGAGGUAGGGAAGCAUAUGGGGCAGAAGGAAGAAUGCACGCAAAAGCCUUGAGCCACGAUGGAAAAGGAAAGAAGGAAUGAUUGACAUCCUCUCCUAGAGCAAGUUGGCUGCCAGGGAAUAAGGUCAAGGCCUUGCACUUCUCACUCUCCGUUGCCACUUCCCUACCCCUUCAUAAUAUCAGUUUCAAUAUUAGGUGGCAAAUAUCCAAAGUUUGGAUGUUUUUAAACACAUUAAUAUUUUUUUCAUUCACAGUUCAUAAAUUUUAAAUCACAGAUUUGUAUGGAGAAAUAAUGUUUCUAAUUACUGUGUGAUCUUGCUUAUUCACUUAACUUCUCUGGGUCCUGAUUUCUUGCUUUGUAAAAUUCGGAGGGUAGACUACCGUAGAAGUUCCUUCCUGCUCUAAGCUUUCUACAUUUAUGUGGGUUUAAGUAUUUAAGGCUUGACGGGGCAUUGGCAUGUACAAUAAAAUGGUAAA